UUUUUACGAAUGAUUAUUUGAAAGUUAUCUUUUUUUUACGAAUGAUUAUUUAAUAAAAAGCAAUCUAGAAUGUUCGAAACCUUAGGCUUAAAUGAAUCU
rnacentral:snRNA from 2 species